CGUUGCUUUAAGCAACCUAUCAAUGCUUCAACAGUCUGAAAGAAGCGCUUUAGGGUGGCUGUAUUAAUCAAUGUUCCUGUAGUCUGAGAGGAGCGCCUUCGGGUGACUACAUUAUCUGCCAGACCUGAAACGGCAGACAGUAAGAUACUCUGGGUAAAUCC
rnacentral:sRNA from 1 species